GCCAGCGAAGCUCACCAGGGCAGAGCGGGCCCCUCGUAAGGGCGAGGAUGCGGGUCCGCCUGCCGUCGCUGGCU
rnacentral:tRNA from 2 species